rnacentral:misc_RNA from 1 species
GAUGAAGAACGUAGCGAAAUGCGAUAAUUAAUGUGAAUUGCAGAAUUCAGUGAAUCAUCGAGUCUUUGAACGCACAUUGCGCCCCCUGGUAUUCCGGGGGGCAUGCCUGUCCGAGCGUCAUUGCUGCCCUCAAGCACGGCUUGUGUGUUGGGCUUCCGUCCCUGGCAACGGGGACGGGCCCAAAAGGCAGUGGCGGCACCAUGUCUGGUCCUCGAGCGUAUGGGGCUUUGUCACCCGCUCCCGUAGGUCCAGCUGGCAGCUAGCCUCGCAACCAAUCUUUUUAACCAGGUUGACCUCGGAUCAGGUAGGGAUACCCGCUGAACUUAAGCAUAUCAAUAAGCGGAGA